GGCCGAGAUAGUUUGCCAGCUAGGAGAUGGUAAUCGAUUGAAUGGAGAAGUUUUGAUUAAAAGAGUCUAAUAUCCAUCCACAGGAGGUUAGGCCAGUUGCUGAAUAUACCGCUGGGAAAUCACGAAAAUGCAAAGUGCCUUUUCCAAGAUUCGUAGUUGUAGAAUAUAAAACUCAACUUGAACAUGGAACGAAAUAUUUUGUGAAGGUCGACGCUGGCGUGUGUUACGUACAUCUUUGCAUCCAUCAGGAUUACGAAGUCGGAGGUGGUCGGAUAAAGCUCGAGAAAAUGUUGGUUAAUCUAGACGAGGAUUAUCCCUUAGAGUAUUUUGAAUAAACUAGCAGCUGUUUAUCUAGAGAAUAUAGAAUACCUACUUAUUGUAAAGCAAAUACCUAUUGUGCUGUCAUUUAAAAAAAGAUAUAAGUUCUGUACUUAAUUUGCC